CAGAAAGCCUGGCGCCGCGCGCCUCCCUCCCCUCCGUGGCUCCAGCCAUGGCGUUGGUUACAGCCCAGCUGGGCUCACGUGGGCAGGAGAUGCGUCCGGGAAGGACGCAGUGUAGAGGACUCAGUUCAGCACCCCUCGCGGCCUCCCUAACUUGGCGAGAGGCCCAGCCGGGCGCGAGCGCGCGGUCCAGUUAGCACGAGCUAGCGGUCGCGCUCCGGCGCCGCUCGGCUCAUCGGACCAGAACCUGAUUUCUAGUUAAUUACAAACUACGGCCAAGAUGCUCCUGUGACCCACUCAGACCUACGCCGCAUCCCUAAGAAACAGGCCAGUGGCCAAAACCCCCAGCGACGGAUUGCAGCCCUGAUUGCCUAAGAACACCAGGGAGGGCCCAAUUCUUCAGGCUAAAGGCGCCCCCCCGCCCUGCAAUUGCAUCUCUGCCCCUCAGCCCCCAGGUCCUUCUCCCCUGCCCCCAGCUGUGCCUCUCCAGAGGGGAGAGGGAGACCCACCCUCACAGUCUGCGGCUUCAAGGCCAAGGGCAGGCUACAGAAACUUUCUUCGAGCAAACGAUGCGCAGCGCCCAAUAUAUGAAACCCUCACAGCUGAGCUGCUCUCCACCCCAGCGUGCCUAGUCUGUGCAGAACCAAGCAGAAAACCACCCAUCCGUCUAGAACUUCACUGGGCAACAGAGGCUGCAUCUCCACCUGUGGUCCCCGGCACUCCCCAGGGCCGGGCGCUAACUGCCUGCAAGAACGCUGGCCCAGCCGGCUCAGAGACGUGCCAGAGGGGAGGCAGGCCACAGACACGGGGACCCAGAGCCUGCACAGCAGCCAGCUUUGCCACCACCCCAGCCUCUGUGCAGUGCAGUUUCCUGAGCUGGCCAGGCCAUACUGCCCACAGGAAGGCCAUGGCUGGACUGGCCUGCAGACACAGGGAGAACAGAAGGAGCAGGUGCCCGUGUGCCGUGCACCCAGCUGCGGGAUCCACCUCCGACCUCAGCCAGCCCCAGGGCACGAUGGUUAUGGUCUGUAGUCACUGCUAACACUGAAUUAGUGAGUAUAGAGCCAUCCAUCACUCCUGGGGAAACAGGGUCAGGUCCUGCCAGCCUCUGGGCACGACACUUCCAUCAGCCCAUCAAGACUGCCUCAUUCAGUGCUUCUGUUCAGACACCUUAGUCAGUACAGAUGCAUCCACAUCCAAUUCACAGCCAGCAGCCUCCAACUCACGCUGAGGGAGGCUCGCCCGACACAGGUGUUUUCCCAUGAGGCCCAGCCUGGACUUCCUGGGCUCGAGAACGCUGGCCGGCAUUGCAGCACCAGGCCUGGGGCCAUUUUAAACAGCGAAAUCUCCAACAGAAAGCACCAAAGUGCAGAAAAUAUGGUACUAAAUAGACCAGGAGGACACGUUUAUAGUGUGAGAUGAAACAAGAAGGCAGAGUGUCCCCUCGUUCCCCUCAGCUGGGGACUCAAAGUUUGUGCUGCUCUGCUCGUGUUGGCAAAUCACUGUACAAGCAAGGAGUGACUUCAGGGUUACAAACACAUUUUCAAGAGAAGGCUAGUUUCCAAAUAAAGAAUCUGCACAUGAUGAG
rnacentral:lncRNA from 1 species